UACGUAGGGUGCAAGCGUUGUCCGGAAUUAUUGGGCGUAAAGAGCUCGUAGGCGGUUUGUCACGUCGGAUGUGAAAACCCGAGGCUUAACCUCGGGCCUGCAUUCGAUACGGGCUGACUAGAGUUCGGUAGGGGAGACUGGAAUUCCUGGUGUAGCGGUGGAAUGCGCAGAUAUCAGGAAGAACACCAACGGCGAAGGCAGCUCGCUGGGACGGUACUGACGCUGAGACGCGAAAGCGUGGGGGAGCGAACAGG
rnacentral:rRNA from 1 species